CUUAGCUGUUGCCAUACCAGAUGCUGUGGAAGUCUGACUGCCUUCUGACUGUAUGAAAAAAGAUCUUAGAAAGAUCAGCCCAACAGGCGGCAAGAUGACCUCUGCAGUUGACAAGUGACCUCAGCAGAAGUUGGUCUUCUUUGGUCAUUUUUGCAUGAACAUCUGCAUUGCUUAUGUGUGUAGUCUACCUGUUACGUUGGGUCCCCACUUCGAGCAAGGACUGAUGACCUCUGAGGCAGAGAAGUCAGAGGACAUCAGAGGGAAACCCAAAAAAUAUGAUGCACUUUCACCACUGAAACCAAUCACUGAAACCCAGCAUCCUUCUUGUCUUUUCCAUUUUCUUCCACAAGUGGAUUUCCUUUCAACUGCGGAGGUGCUUCUUGCGGAGGUCUGCCAUUAUGUCUGCAUCCACAUCCCUCUGGAUUAUCCUGGCAAAAACAUUUUUUCACCUGUCAUUUAAUGCAAUAAAGGACGUACAUCAUGAAUUGUA